rnacentral:rRNA from 1 species
AUACCCGUUGAUCCUGCGGGAGACCGCUGCUAUUCGGAUUCGGUUAAGCCAUGCAAGUCUGGGGGAGCAAUCCACCGGCACACGGCUCAGUAACACGUCGAUAAUCUGCCCUU